rnacentral:lncRNA from 1 species
GCCAAGAAAAGUGACAAAAAAGUGGCGUUUCAAAGAAAUCCAACAGUAUUUGAAGUCCUGCGUAAUGAGAAGGAUCUGCUCCGACAAGAUGAAAGAGGGGUGUGUACAGAAUACCAAUGGUAGAGAAUAACGAGAACACGGAAAACACGUAUAUAGGGGUUACCUCUAGGACCAUUGGUAGAAGAAUAGAAAAGCAUAAACGAGACAUACGUCUACGGAAACUAAACACAGCAUUGGCAGUUGAGACUUAUAAUAAGGAUAUUAAUGUUAAUUGGAAAAGUGUGAAACAGAUAAAGGAUCUGAGGAACGGUUCGAUGCCAGUCGUUGUGGAGUCGCUAGAAAUUUUACAGAGAGCGGGCAAUGAGAACUUGAUUAAUGAUAGGACAACUUGGGAGC